ensembl:lncRNA
AUGUUUAUCAUGUUCCCAGAUGGCCAGUUUGUUAGCUGUAGACCAUGCAGGUUACAGAAGACAGAAUCACCUGCCUCAUUAAUGUGGAGGAACCCUGUGCUGGCCUUCAGAGGCAGGAUGAUGAUUACAAAAAUGUUCGUGAAAACAUCAGGAAGAGCCAGGAUAAGGUCUGGAAGCGUAAAGAGGACAGAGGCCAUGAGGACAACUUUAAGGUUGGAGAUCUUGUCCUCCAAAGGAACAUUAGACAGGAGCAAAGGAAGGGGGGCAAGCUGGAGGCAGAUUUACUUGGCCCCCUUACAAUCGUCAAACUGGAGGGGAAAAGUGCAGACCUGGUGUCCUAGGAGGGAAAGCAAAAAUUCAAGAUCAAUAUAGACCACCUCAUACAUUAUGUCCAGCCAGAGGAGAGGGUCCCUGCCAAACUAAGAAAGGUGUUAGUUUCCUCUCCUCUGGCUGGUCCAUCACAUACAGAUACACAACAGAUACACACACAGCACACAUGCACACACAUCCUCUGGGACACGAGGCUGCCAAAAAGCCCCAAGACCUUCACAGGAUACAGAACACUGUGAGUAAAGAUUCAUUAAAGUACACCAUGAAUCAUGCAUUUCACAAAUAACGGUCACUGAUCUUCCUCUUUGCAGUAAUCAGGGACAUAUGGGCAGGUGGCCGAGCAGAGACCCUAUGGUCCAAGGUUGGGCCAUACAAGGUCUUUUCUGGAACAUUACAACACCUGGCCCCAGGAAAGGAGUUGGAGACGGAGGUAAUCUCUUGUUUUAAGUGCUCAUUGUUGUUUGAAUAUUUUUCUCUCAGUUAACCAAAUGUAGAGUUGUCACUCUUGUACUCACAGAUUGUCAAUGCAUAUCUACUGAUUAUCUGUAACAAGACGGGCACACAAAUGGUAGACUCUUUCGCCAUGUCUGACGUCUGGCAGAGAUCCCAGAGACGAUAUAAAAGAGUGAGUAUCAUGUCUGCCAAUUCCUAUGUAGUGACAUUUUAUACAUUGAGAUGUCUCUGUGUAAAACGUGUUUUUUGUUUUUAGCUGGAUCUUGUCAACCACGACGUGGCAGCUGGAGCUGUAUGUCAUCAGGGACACUGGACUCUUACUGUGAGUAAUUGUUAACUGAGUGGAUACAAAUCAUGUGACUGUCCGGUGUACAAGUGGAUGGCUGUAAUCAUCAUUUGCAUUUCCAUGUAUAAUGUAUCUGAGGGAAAACAGAGCCCUGUAUGUGGACCCAUUUUCGGCAACAAAACAACAAGUGGACCAAUGCAGGGAUGUGACAAGGUGAGUAAAAUGUCAACUCUAAUGAUGUAUUCCUUGCCCUUGGAUGAUAUUGUGGCAGCAACACAACACAUUACAUCAUUAUCUGUGUCCUGUUGUCCUUGUGAAGUUGUUUUAACACCAGUUAAUUGACAUUUAAUUGGUGAAGAUCUUAAAUGGGCUGAGGUUAGAAAUAAUGAGCUGUGAUCAAUAUUUUGUCUGUGUAGAGCACUUGUUCGUAGACAUUGUCCAGCCAUCGGACGAUGGGCCUGCUCCACAUUGGACCACCUGAGGCAGCUGGACUCCACAUCAUGUGGUGUGUUUGUAUGCAAGGUAACAAUUUGACUAUGUCUUUGCCAAGUCAAUUUUCUGAUACUGAGCAGUCACUUUUCAGCUUGCAGAGCAGAUCAUGCUGGAGGGAAAGAUAGACUACCCUGUGGACCAGCAGAGUGUGAACCGCAUGAGACUCGAAAUGGCAACGGCCCUGAUGACUAACGAUGGUAUGUACUACUCCACCAGAUAUACUGAAACAUUUGUGUCUGUACUGUAAUUUUUUUUGUCUGUGUUUACAGAUGACCUGUCGGCGCUGUGUCGGGCUUGUGGGGAGGAGAGCUCAGGGGCUGAUGUGGAUGAGUGGGUAAGAGUGAAUUUUCAUGUUGACUGACAACUAAAUGGAACAUGGGGAUCCACCCUGGAUAGGUUACCUCCACAACACUGGGUGAACUGUCCCUAUCUAUCACACGGCUACUGAAAAUGCAUAGUUUCAUUAUACUCACUUGCAUGUCUUUGCACUUCCUGAGGACACUGAUGCUGCUGAAGGAACACUGACUCCACACUGACAGGACCGACCCAAGCUAGGGUUUUAAACCCAAAUCUAGCACACAUUGUCACAAUAUCUUGAACAGUGACACACAGUAUUGAUGUGUACUCGGUGUUAGACUACUUAAUUCAUUGUACACACCCUUCUCUGACUGUGACGCUUACCUGUUUACCAAAAUCUGACAUCUGUUUUUCUGUUUCCCUUUCAGAUUAAGUGCACCACAUGCAGCAUGUGGUAUCACACGACAUGUGUUGGUCAUCCCUCGACUGAGGGGGACUACUUUUGUAAAGGCUGUAACAGCCUAUAGUCAUUUUAGUCUGCCAAUAAACAUGUGCAGCUGUCACGGCCCUAGUGGGGUGCCUGUGUCUCUACUCCCUCAUGGGGGUGCAGAGUUCCACCAGGGCACCAGGUGUCUCUCUAUUAUUGUUUUCCAGGCUGAGUCCAGAGAGGAAGCAGAGCUGGCUGCUGAUUGGCUUACACCAAGGGCCCAAUGAAGCCUAACUUUUAAAUCUGAGGAGCUGCCAGUUUUCUCUCUCUCUCCACCCUGAUGCAGGCUCUCUGCUUGGUGCCUGCCUGAUUGCAGGCCACAUGCUGGCUGAGCUCUUGGUUCAUUCAGUUGUUUUAUUCUUCAUUUUCCUUAGUUUGUAGAUCUACAGCAGUUGUACAGUUAUUUUGUAAAUAAAUUCUUCAUUGUUAUCUUGCAACCCCUUGUGUGUUCUCCCAUUUUUGUCCAGUUUCUGAGCCAGACUGUGACACAGCAUACACACAUAAUUGUAUCUGUUCUAUCAAGUUGUGAUUAAUUGAAUGAUGCUGAGUUAAUAUCAUUGUGAUUAAUGCUCAAGCUCGAGGUUUGGUCGCUUAUGUGGCUGAGGACAAAAAAGAAACAUUAACUCACACUGAAAUAGACUGAAAUAUAAUUUGUACUGUAUUUAAUUUUUGUUCCUUAGUGAUUUUUAAAUCCAGGCUGCUGCUAUGUGUUCAAUGCAGCUACUUUUUAUAAAUUUUCACAAACACAGGGAGGACUUAAGGAAAUCUGCAUAUAAAGUUCUGUAUUGUUACUGUUUCUAUCUAUUGUAGGUCCUUUUAUUUCAUAAAUGCAAUGAAACAUGGCAUCAUGGAAAUGCACGAUUAAGAACCCUAAACUGUAAGCAUAAGUAAAGUUGCCACAUCAUGUGAAAAUUCAAAUGAAUACUCAUUAAGGCCCAUUAAUACUCCUGAUAGGCUUAGUUAGACUUCUGGACUGCGUUACCUUCAUUAUAAGACACAAAUGUGUUUUGCGGCCCCAGACAUAUUUUUUUGUGGCAAGGGACGGGGGACAAAAUAGCUCUUUUAAGGUAAAGGGUGCUGACACCUGCCCUAACUUCUGGUGAGGAGUUGACCUUCCUUCUGAUAUCCAUCGUUAUACCUUGAGAAGAGUGAGACACAUGUCUGGGCUUUCCUAAGAACCACGGUCGAUACAGGUGUUUGUAUCACAGGUUGAUCUGGGCGUCUCAGGCUUUGCCUCAGCUGACCUGCUGAGUUCGGGCUGGAUGUCAACGUACUCUGCAGACUGUUUGACGAGCAGGCUGUGACAGUGUAUACAGUUAGUUUUCACAUCGACUUGGCUUAAGCUUAAUAACGAUGUAUGCGGCUGGGAACGAUUACUUUAAUUAACCAUUUGAACGCAGUGCAGAAUGAAAUAAAUACCCGAUGAUAACAGUGUCACAAGUUAACCUGGACGCUGCGCACUCAGCGCCACAGCGAACAGCGGUCUCGAAGCUGCUCUCAAACUCAAUCGGCGUGAACAAAUGCCUCCGACUGUUCCACCCACCAGCUGUGUGUAAGUACAGACAUUCACGCCAAAGAUAUAAGACCGACAACAUGCACUUUUGUACGAUUUAUUGACAGUUGUGUUUUUUUUGGACAGGCAUCGACACAGUCACCUACACUGUCACUGUGCUCUAUAGCACUC